AACGUAGGAGACAAACGUUAUCCGGAGUUACUGGGCGUAAAGGGCGUGUAGGUGGUUUCGUAAGUCUGGCGUGAAAUUUUUCGGCUUAACCGGGAAAGGUCGUCGGAUACUGCGGAGCUGGAGUACGGUAGGGGCAGAGGGAAUUUCCGGUGGAGCGGUGAAAUGCGUAGAGAUCGGAAAGAACACCAACGGCGAAAGCACUCUGCUGGGCCGACACUGACACUGAGAGACGAAAGCUAGGGGAGCGAAUGGG
rnacentral:rRNA from 1 species